GUAGAUGAGAGCUCCCCUUCAGACCAGUUGGAGCGGUGCUAAACUAGACUCAGUCAAAGGGCCCUGCUGCUGGCAUUCCAUAUUAUAUAUCCAACAGAUUGAACUUUUUACUGGAUUCUGUUAAAAUGGAUGUUUGGAUUUCAUACAACAAAUUCAUCAGCAUCACCAAUACUGCAGUAGAAGAAGAGACAUCCAUAUCACCACCAUCAGCCAGUGACUAAGGCCUGGUCUACACUAAGAGGUUAUGUUGAAUUUAGCAGCAUUAAAUCGAAUUAACCCUGCACCCGU